GAUGAACGCUAGCGACAGGCUUAACACAUGCAAGUCGAACGAGAGGAGAAGGAAGCUUGCUUCUUUCAAAUCUAGUGGCAAACGGGUGAGUAACACGUAAACAACCUGCCUUCAGGAUGGGGACAACAGACGGAAACGACUGCUAAUACCGAAUACGUUCCUUAGGUCGCAUGACUUUAGGAAGAAAGGGUGGCCUCUACUUGUAAGCUAUCGCCUGAAGAGGGGUUUGCGUCUGAUUACGGUAGUUGGUGAGGUAAACGGCCCACCAAGCCGACGAUCAGUAGCCGGUCUGAGAGGGUGAACGGCCACAUUGGGACUGAGACACGGCCCAGACUCCUACGGGAGGCAGCAGUGGGGGAUAUUGCACAAUGGGGGAAACCCUGAUGCAGCGACGCCGCGUGAGGGAAGACGGUCCUCUGGAUUGUAAACCUCUGUCUUCGGGGACGAAAGAAGACGGUACCCGAGGAGGAAGCCACGGCUAACUACGUG
rnacentral:rRNA from 1 species